AUUGGGGCACACAAGAUUUUUUAGUUAAUUUCAUUUUUUCAUUUCAUUCUUUGUAUGCAAUUAAAACGAACACAUGUGACAUGUGAAUAUGUGAUAUACCAAUUACUUAAUAUUUCGGCUUUAAAAAGAAAAAAAAAAACGAACAAAUCGGACACUGAUUUGUUUGAACGGUGCGUACGUGGUGGGAUGAUGAAGAAUUUGAUCUUCCAUAUCGCAAGCUCAUAAGAUUCUCGCAGUAGUGUUUUUAUUACGUGUUCUUUAUUUUUUUGUUUAGAACUUGAUUACUUAAAUCAAUCUCCAAGUUUCUUAAUUAUGUUAAUUCUUCGUUUUUUGGAUUCUUGCUAUAACUUAUCUACGUCAAAAUUUUGUCCAAUUUUACAGAAAAAUCACAAAAUUAGCAUUUUAACACACACACACAUACA